rnacentral:lncRNA from 1 species
CUUGGCUCUUACAAAAUGACAAUCAAAAACAUGUCCUAAACCCAAAAACCAGCAACCUUUCAUCUCCGCCCACAGCUUAGCAAUCCUCACAUCACAUACAAUUAUAUGAUAUAAAAACAUCACAGAGUCUUUAGUUUACUUUUAGUCAGCAGCAUUUUAAAACCAAACUUUAGAUAGGAAGGACACGUAAUACAAAUAGCAUUAACAAAACGACAAGGACACGUUGCGAAAUCCAAAACGAAACGACACUAUCUACAGACUACAGGCAACUCAUCCGGUGAGUUGGUGACCCAUCACAUUCAUUUACAUCGCUGGAGCGUAUCAUCCACUCAGUGAUGAUGCUUGCUCCUAGUCUCCCCACUGUAAAGCCUGCAAAAUCACAAAAACCAAUUCAAAGCAACAUCAACUCCCGAUCCAAAAACACGACGCCCCGAUCACGGAUCAGAUCCAUCUAAUAAUAAUAAUAAUAAUAAUAAUAAUUAAAAAAAAAAGGAUAAUCAAUAUAGUUAAAUUACUACUUUAAUCAUC